GAUGAACGCUGGCGGCGUGCCUAAUACAUGCAAGUCGAGCGAACAGACGAGGCGCUUGCUCCUCUGACGUUAGCGGCGGACGGGUGAGUAACACGUGGAUAACCUACCUAUAAGACUGGGAUAACUUCGGGAAACCGGAUCUAAUACCGGAUAAUAUAUUGAACCGUAUUGUUCAAUAGUGAAAGACGGUUGUGCUGUCACUUCUAGAUGCAUCCGGGCCGCAUUGGCUAGUUGGGACGUUAACGGCUUACCACGGCAACGAGGCGUAGCCGAACUCAGAGGGUGAUAGGCGACCCUGGAAGUGAGCCACGGUCAAGAGUCCUAAGGGAGGCAGCAGUAGGGAAUCUUCCGCAAUGGGCGGAAGCAUGACGGAGUAACGCGGCGUGAGUGAUGAAGGUCUUCGGAUCGGAAAGCUCUGUUAUGAGGUAAGAACCAAUGUGUAAGGAACUAUGCACUUCUUGACGGUACCUAAUCAGAAAGCAACGGCUAACUACGUG
rnacentral:rRNA from 1 species